GUCGAAGUACGUGAGCCGAUGAGGAGAGUGCGAUGAGUGAGAAAUCAGACGAAAAAGCCGCUGCCGACCACGAUGAUACCUUCAUCGGCACCGGCAUCAAGGACACGUUUCAGGGUGACGAGCAUGCCAAUUUGAUCUUCGGUGAGGGUGGCAGCGACAAGCUGAACGGUGGCGCAGGAAACGACAGGAUUCACGGUGGCGGCGGCGACGAUACAUUGGCUGGCGAGGCCGGUGACGACAUCGUGUUCGGUUCCGCCUCGGUCGGUGGCACGGUGGACCUGAACAAGUUGGUGAUCCACGAGGACGUCACUGGAAAAGUAACGUUCCUCAGUGAGUCCGCUGGCUUCAAGAACACCCUCGGAUUUUACAAGAUCGCGUCCGACGGCUCGGUCUACGACGUCGAGGUCUUGUUCGCGAACGCGUCGGCCAAAGGCUCAGGCGGCGACCUGGUCGGGGGCUCGAGUUCGGUCGAUGUGGAUCUGAAGGGCGGCGAUCGCGUCGGGUUCUUUGUGGUGCCCAACGGCUAUUCGCAGAAGGGCGUGGCAAGCUGCGA
rnacentral:rRNA from 1 species